GGUUAAGCGACUAAGCGUACACGGUGGAUGCCCUGGCAGUCAGAGGCGAUGAAGGACGUGCUAAUCUGCGAUAAGCGUCGGUAAGGUGAUAUGAACCGUUAUAACCGGCGAUUUCCGAAUGGGGAAACCCAGUGUGUUUCGACACACUAUCAUUAACUGAAUCCAUAGGUUAAUGAGGCGAACCGGGGGAACUGAAACAUCUAAGUACCCCGAGGAAAAGAAAUCAACCGAGAUUCCCCCAGUAGCGGCGAGCGAACGGGGAGCAGCCCAGAGCCUGAAUCAGUGUGUGUGUUAGUGGAAGCGUCUGGAAAGGCGCGCGAUACAGGGUGACAGCCCCGUACACAAAAAUGCACAUGCUGUGAGCUCGAUGAGUAGGGCGGGACACGUGGUAUCCUGUCUGAAUAUGGGGGGACCAUCCUCCAAGGCUAAAUACUCCUGACUGACCGAUAGUGAACCAGUACCGUGAGGGAAAGGCGAAAAGAACCCCGGCGAGGGGAGUGAAAAAGAACCUGAAACCGUGUACGUACAAGCAGUGGGAGCACGCUUAGGCGUGUGACUGCGUACCUUUUGUAUAAUGGGUCAGCGACUUAUAUUCUGUAGCAAGGUUAACCGAAUAGGGGAGCCGAAGGGAAACCGAGUCUUAACUGGGCGUUAAGUUGCAGGGUAUAGACCCGAAACCCGGUGAUCUAGCCAUGGGCAGGUUGAAGGUUGGGUAACACUAACUGGAGGACCGAACCGACUAAUGUUGAAAAAUUAGCGGAUGACUUGUGGCUGGGGGUGAAAGGCCAAUCAAACCGGGAGAUAGCUGGUUCUCCCCGAAAGCUAUUUAGGUAGCGCCUCGUGAAUUCAUCUCCGGGGGUAGAGCACUGUUUCGGCAAGGGGGUCAUCCCGACUUACCAACCCGAUGCAAACUGCGAAUACCGGAGAAUGUUAUCACGGGAGACACACGGCGGGUGCUAACGUCCGUCGUGAAGAGGGAAACAACCCAGACCGCCAGCUAAGGUCCCAAAGUCAUGGUUAAGUGGGAAACGAUGUGGGAAGGCCCAGACAGCCAGGAUGUUGGCUUAGAAGCAGCCAUCAUUUAAAGAAAGCGUAAUAGCUCACUGGUCGAGUCGGCCUGCGCGGAAGAUGUAACGGGGCUAAACCAUGCACCGAAGCUGCGGCAGCGACGCUGAUGCGUUGUUGGGUAGGGGAGCGUUCUGUAAGCCUGCGAAGGUGUGCUGUGAGGCAUGCUGGAGGUAUCAGAAGUGCGAAUGCUGACAUAAGUAACGAUAAAGCGGGUGAAAAGCCCGCUCGCCGGAAGACCAAGGGUUCCUGUCCAACGUUAAUCGGGGCAGGGUGAGUCGACCCCUAAGGCGAGGCCGAAAGGCGUAGUCGAUGGGAAACAGGUUAAUAUUCCUGUACUUGGUGUUACUGCGAAGGGGGGACGGAGAAGGCUAUGUUGGCCGGGCGACGGUUGUCCCGGUUUAAGCGUGUAGGCUGGUUUUCCAGGCAAAUCCGGAAAAUCAAGGCUGAGGCGUGAUGACGAGGCACUACGGUGCUGAAGCAACAAAUGCCCUGCUUCCAGGAAAAGCCUCUAAGCAUCAGGUAACAUCAAAUCGUACCCCAAACCGACACAGGUGGUCAGGUAGAGAAUACCAAGGCGCUUGAGAGAACUCGGGUGAAGGAACUAGGCAAAAUGGUGCCGUAACUUCGGGAGAAGGCACGCUGAUAUGUAGGUGAAGCGACUUGCUCGUGGAGCUGAAAUCAGUCGAAGAUACCAGCUGGCUGCAACUGUUUAUUAAAAACACAGCACUGUGCAAACACGAAAGUGGACGUAUACGGUGUGACGCCUGCCCGGUGCCGGAAGGUUAAUUGAUGGGGUCAGCGCAAGCGAAGCUCUUGAUCGAAGCCCCGGUAAACGGCGGCCGUAACUAUAACGGUCCUAAGGUAGCGAAAUUCCUUGUCGGGUAAGUUCCGACCUGCACGAAUGGCGUAAUGAUGGCCAGGCUGUCUCCACCCGAGACUCAGUGAAAUUGAACUCGCUGUGAAGAUGCAGUGUACCCGCGGCAAGACGGAAAGACCCCGUGAACCUUUACUAUAGCUUGACACUGAACAUUGAGCCUUGAUGUGUAGGAUAGGUGGGAGGCUUGGAAGUGUGGACGCCAGUCUGCAUGGAGCCGACCUUGAAAUACCACCCUUUAAUGUUUGAUGUUCUAACGUUGACCCGUAAUCCGGGUUGCGGACAGUGUCUGGUGGGUAGUUUGACUGGGGCGGUCUCCUCCUAAAGAGUAACGGAGGAGCACGAAGGUUGGCUAAUCCUGGUCGGACAUCAGGAGGUUAGUGCAAUGGCAUAAGCCAGCUUGACUGCGAGCGUGACGGCGCGAGCAGGUGCGAAAGCAGGUCAUAGUGAUCCGGUGGUUCUGAAUGGAAGGGCCAUCGCUCAACGGAUAAAAGGUACUCCGGGGAUAACAGGCUGAUACCGCCCAAGAGUUCAUAUCGACGGCGGUGUUUGGCACCUCGAUGUCGGCUCAUCACAUCCUGGGGCUGAAGUAGGUCCCAAGGGUAUGGCUGUUCGCCAUUUAAAGUGGUACGCGAGCUGGGUUUAGAACGUCGUGAGACAGUUCGGUCCCUAUCUGCCGUGGGCGCUGGAGAACUGAGGGGGGCUGCUCCUAGUACGAGAGGACCGGAGUGGACGCAUCACUGGUGUUCGGGUUGUCAUGCCAAUGGCACUGCCCGGUAGCUAAAUGCGGAAGAGAUAAGUGCUGAAAGCAUCUAAGCACGAAACUUGCCCCGAGAUGAGUUCUCCCUGACCCUUUAAGGGUCCUGAAGGAACGUUGAAGACGACGACGUUGAUAGGCCGGGUGUGUAAGCGCAGCGAUGCGUUGAGCUAACCGGUACUAAUGAACCGUGAGGCUUAACCUU
rnacentral:rRNA from 1 species